rnacentral:rRNA from 1 species
GACGAACCGUGCGAACGUUGUUCGGAAUCACUGGGCUUAAAGGGCGCGUAGGCGGGUUCCCAAGUUCGGGGUGAAAUCUUUCGGCUUAACCGGAAAACAGCCUUGAAUACUGGGAGUCUUGAGCGAGGUAGGGGCAGCUGGAACUUCCGGGUGGAGCGGUGAAAUGCGGUUGAUAUCGGAAGGAACGCCGGUGGCGAAAGCGAGCUGCUGGACCUUUUCUGACGCUGAGGCGCGGAAAGCCAGGGGAGCAAAGCGGG